GACGAACGCUGGCGGCAUGCCUAAUACAUGCAAGUCGAGCGAACAGAUGAAGUGCUUGCACUUCUGACGUUAGCGGCGAACGGGUGAGUAACACGUAAGGAAUCUACCUAUAAGCGGGGGAUAACAUUCGGAAACGGGUGCUAAUACCGCAUAAUAUCUUCUUCCGCAUGGAAGAAGAUUGAAAGACGGCUCUGCUGUCACUUAUAGAUUACCUUGCGGUGCGUUAGUUAGUGGGUGGGGUAACGGCCUACCAAGACGAUGAUGCAUAGCCGACCUGAGAGGGUGAUCGGCCACAUUGGGACUGAGACACGGCCCAAACUCCUACGGGAGGCAGCAGUAGGGAAUCUUCCGCAAUGGGAGAAAGCCUGACGGAGCAAUGCCGCGUGAGUGAAGAAGGCCUUCGGGUCGUAAAACUCUGUUAUAAGAGAAGAACAAAUUGUAGAGUAACUGCUACAGUCUUGACGGUAUCUUAUCAGAAAGCCACGGCUAACUACGUGCCAGCCGCCGCCUAA
rnacentral:rRNA from 1 species